rnacentral:rRNA from 1 species
UGAGGAAUAUUGGGUCAAUGGGCGCGAGCCUGAACCAGCCAAGUCGCGUGGGGGAAGACGGCCCUACGGGUUGUAAACCUCUUUUGCCGGGGAGCAACGCUGCGGACGUGUCCGCAGGUGAGAGUACCCGGAGAAAAAGCAUCGGCUAACUCCGUGCCAGCAGCCGCGGUAAUACGGAGGAUGCGAGCGUUAUCCGGAUUUAUUGGGUUUAAAGGGUGCGCAGGCGGCGCGCCAAGUCAGCGGUCAAAGUUCCGGGCUCAACCCGGUGUCGCCGUUGAAACUGGCGUGCUCGAGUGCGUGCGAGGAAGGCGGAAUGCGUUGUGUAGCGGUGAAAUGCAUAGAUAUGACGCAGAACUCCGAUUGCGAAGGCAGCUUUCCAGCGCGCUACUGACGCUGAGGCACGAAAGCGUGGGGAUCGAACAGGAUUAGAUACCCUGGUAGU